rnacentral:rRNA from 1 species
UGCAGUCGACGAUGACCACUUCGGUGGGGAUUAGUGGCGAACGGGUGAGUAACACGUGGGCAAUCUGCCCUUCACUCUGGGACAAGCCCUGGAAACGGGGUCUAAUACCGGAUACCACUACCGCAGGCAUCUGUGGUGGUUGAAAGCUCCGGCGGUGAAGGAUGAGCCCGCGGCCUAUCAGCUUGUUGGUGAGGUAAUGGCUCACCAAGGCGACGACGGGUAGCCGGCCUGAGAGGGCGACCGGCCACACUGGGACUGAGACACGGCCCAGACUCCUACGGGAGGCAGCAGUGGGGAAUAUUGCACAAUGGGCGAAAGCCUGAUGCAGCGACGCCGCGUGAGGGAUGACGGCCUUCGGGUUGUAAACCUCUUUCAGCAGGGAAGAAGCGAAAGUGACGGUACCUGCAGAAGAAGCGCCGGCUAACUACGUGCCAGCAGCCGCGGUAAUACGUAGGGCGCAAGCGUUGUCCGGAAUUAUUGGGCGUAAAGAGCUCGUAGGCGGCUUGUCACGUCGGGUGUGAAAGCCCGGGGCUUAACCCCGGGUCUGCAUUCGAUACGGGCUAGCUAGAGUGUGGUAGGGGAGAUCGGAAUUCCUGGUGUAGCGGUGAAAUGCGCAGAUAUCAGAGGAACACCGGUGGCGAAGGCGGAUCUCUGGGCCAUUACUGACGCUGA